UACAGAGGGUGCAAGCGUUAAUCGGAAUUACUGGGCGUAAAGCGUGCGCAGACGGUUGCGUAAGUCAGAUGUGAAAGCCCCGGGCUCAACCUGGGAACUGCAUUUGAGACUGCGUAGCUAGGGUGCGGAAGAGGGAAGCGGAAUUUCCGGUGUAGCGGUGAAAUGCGUAGAUAUCGGAAGGAACACCAGUGGCGAAAGCGGCUUCCUGGUCCAGCACCGACGUUCAGGCACGAAAGCGUGGGGAGCAAACAGG
rnacentral:rRNA from 1 species